rnacentral:rRNA from 1 species
AACGAACGCUGGCGGCAGGCCUAACACAUGCAAGUCGAGCGGACCCUUCGGGGUUAGCGGCGGGCGGGUGAGUAACGCGUGGGAAUAUGCCCUUCUCUACGGAAUAGUCUCGGGAAACUGGGGGUAAUACCGUAUACGCCCUUUGGGGGAAAGAUUUAUCGGAGAAGGAUUAGCCCGCGUUGGAUUAGGUAGUUGGUGGGGUUAAUGGCCUACCAAGCCGACGAUCCAUAGCUGGUUUGAGAGG